rnacentral:lncRNA from 1 species
UUCAGCCCCUUACACACACACACACACCAGCCUUACACACACACACACACAUUCAGCUCCUACAUACACCCAGCCCCUACACACAAACACACACAACCCCUACACACACACCCAGCCCCUACACACACACACACACCCAGCCCCUACACACAUCCAGCCCCUACACACACACACACCCAGCCCCACACACACACCCCAGCCCCUUUACACACACACACACACCCAGCCCCUACACACACACACCCCCAGCCCCUACACACACACACAUAUACACACAUUCAGCCCCUACACACACACACACACCCAGCCCCUACACACACACACACAUAUACACACAUUCAGCUACACACACACCCAGCCCCUACACACACACACACACACCCAGCCCCUACACACACACACCCCCAGCCCAUACACACACACCCAGCCCCUAACACACACACACACACCCCACACACACACACACACCCAGCCCCUUACACACACACACCUAGCCCCUUCACACACACACACACACACCCAGCCCCUACACACACACACACCCAGCCCCUACACACACACACACCCAGCCCCUACACACACACACACACACCCAGCACCAUACACAUACAUUACACCCAGCCCCUUACACACACACACACACACAAUUUUACACACACACAUCCAGCCCCUACACACACACACACACCCAGCCCCUACACACACACACACAUAUUCAGCCCUCCACACACACACACCCAGCCCUCCACACACACAAACACACACACACACACACACCUAGCCCCUUUACACACACACAUUCAGCCCUCCACACACACCCACACACACACCCAGCCCCUACACACACACACAUACCCAGCCCCUACACACACACACACCCACACACCCAGUCCCUACACACACACACACCCAGCCCCUCCCACACACAGCUGCUCCACACACACCCAGCCCCUCCACACACACACAUACACACACAUCCAGACCCUCCACACACACAGCCACCCCCCACACCCAGCCCCUCCACACACACCAGCCCCUCCACACACACCCAGCCGCUCCACACACACACCAGCCCCUACACACACAUCCAGCCUCUCCACACAAACACACCCAGCCCCUACACACACACCCAGCCCCUACACACAGCCCCUCAACACACACCCCAUUUCCUCCACACACACACCCAGCCUCCCAGACACACCCCCCAGCCCCUCCACAGACACACCCAGCUCCUCCCGACACAAAGCACCUCCCCACACACACACAGCCCUCCAUACAUACACACCCAACCCUCCACUACACACACCCAGCCCCUACACACACACACCCCAACCCCUACAUACACACACACACACACACACUCAGCCCAUCCACACACACACACACCCAGCCCAUCUAGACACACACCCCAGCCCCUCCAGACACACACCCCAGCCCCUCCAGACACACACCCCAGCCCCUCCACAGACACACCCAGCUCCUCCCGACACAAAGCACCUCCCCAACACACACACAGCCCCUCCACAUACAUACACAGCCAACCCCUCCACACACACACCCAGCCCCUACACACACACCCAGCCCCUACACACACACACCCCUAACCCCUACACACACACACACACACUCAGCCCCUCCACACACACACACCCAGCCCAUCCAGACACACACCCCAGCCCCUCCAGACACACACCCCAGCCCCUCCAGACACACACCCCAGCCCCUCCACAGACACACCCAGCUCCUCCCGACACAAAGCACCUCCCCAACACACACACAGCCUCUCCACAUACAUUCACACACACCCCCAGCACACUCACUUACACACACACCCACACACAUCCAACUCCUUCACACACACAUCCAGCCCCUACACACACAUCCAGCCCCUACACACACGCACAUCCAGCCCCAUCCACACACACACACCCCUAA